GUGACUAAAUGCAUACACAAAGAAAGAUAGGGUGUUUUACCCCUUUAUUCGCCUCGGUGCUCAUUUGAUAUAGUAGCAGCCAUACAGAAAGGGUGCGGGUAGGUUUGAGUUUGCUGCUACCAGAGUCCUUCAGUAUUUAUACAAACAUUGUUACUGUGACGCUCUGAAUAUGGGUAAACGACAACUUCAAGCCAAGUAGUCUUCCAAUCUCAAGUUACUCAAGACUUGUUCUCCAGCUAAAAUAGUCGCUCGAUCUACUAAUUAUGCCCUCCCAAGUAACUAUCUUCGUCAGAGAAGGUGUCUGCA